CGCGGCUCUGCCCGGCAACCGGCGGCGAUGCGGACCUCUCCCGGGCUCGGGGACCACCCGCGGCCCCCGACGGCUCUCGGAGCCGGCCAGGGUGGGGGCCUCAGGGCCAGGGUGGGCCUCGCAAACUUGGACGUUUACGUUCUCGGCUUCCUCCCAGCCUAGGCAGUGAGUGCAAACUCGAGCCGUCCGCGCUAACGAGCCCGGGCGACUGCGGCGAGCGCGGGUCAGCGGCGCGGGUCUGGGGUCGCGAGUGCCUCAGGAGCGCGGCCCGAGGGAGCUCCGCCUGCCGUCGUCAGGCGCGGUCCGCAGUUCAGACCCAGGAUCCGUAAGGCCGCGGGGAGGACUCCCAAGACCCCAACCCCGUGCUUCCCCUUCGGAAUCUAAGCUCCCAGGCAGGAAAGAGUUAUCUACACUCGCUGCCUCUGCUCCAGUUCACUUCUCGACCUGGGCAAAUCCUGGACAAUUGGAAGGACUUCUCGGUCGUCGUUUUCACCUCACAGGUUCUCCUGGUGCCUGCUUGGUGCCAGGCACUGUGGUGACCCUAGAGGACUGCACGGAUAGCCCCUAGGGUCCUAGCACUUCCUGGAGAUGAGCGACGUGCAGACACCUAUGUGCUUACUUGGGGUGAGCUAAGAUCUUCCUGCCUAUCCUGGUAAACUCGACAACUGCCACCUGCCCACUUCUCUGUCCCUCUGUACAGACCUGCCUAGCGCCCCACACUCGGUUUUCCCACCUAAGAUACCCCUCAGAUCUCUCACACAAGCCCCCCCUUCCCCGACACCACUGACUCCCACACUUUAUUUUUUUAAUUUAUUUUGUUUAUUUUUGCAGAAGUGGGAUUGAACCCAGGGAGCUCUACCACCGCGCUGCAUCCCCAGCCCUUCAUAUUUUUUUCUUUUGAGGCAGGGUCUCACUGGCAGCAGUAGCUGGGAACACAGGCAUGCUGGGAGUCUAGGUGGGUGUCCCCCUGCACAUCUUAAAUACAGCUGUCCUCCUCAAGA
rnacentral:lncRNA from 1 species